rnacentral:lncRNA from 1 species
GAAAAACUAAGAAACAACAAGAGAAUUUAAGGGUAAAUUGGUCAUUCUUUUUUUUUGUCUGAGGGUAGAUUAGUCAUCUUCAUGAGAAUAUAUAUAUAUAUACAGGGCCCUUCCAAUGAGGGAUCCCUUUUUUUGUUCAUUUCUAGGGAUAGGGUAUUUGACGAACUUCCCGAUCAUGAAAUCACAUCUCCACCAUUCAAUUUGUAGGUCUAUAUGAGUAGAUCACUUCCACAAGUUUUUAGAAGAUUUGGUGAUCGUUAAGUCGUCUAAAACUUUGAUUUACUUUUAAUAAAGUUGAACGGUUCAGGUUUGUCAGAAAGUGUUGAAUUUAUUAUUUUCUUUUUUUGUAGCGAAUGGCCAGAUACAUGCACCCUGUAAGAUAUCCCGCGAAUAAUCUCACAAACAGCCCCAAGAAAACCAUUUUCUGGAAUUCCAGCUUUUGCUGAUUUUAUGGUUGAUUCUUGAACUUGUACCAUUAUCUUCCUGUGGCCAUUCUGAAUGAUUCUUGAGUUGAAUAUGUUCUAUAACAUCACAUGUUGAUGUGUAAAUCAGUACCUCACCAAUAGGUACUCAUUAAGACAAUGGAAAAGUGCCUCAAAAACUCAAAAUCUGAUUUAGUUUUCUGACAAGGCUGUUUCAAGGUGCCAACUUCUGGAGCUUAGAACACAUGCUUCACUCCAUCGUUUUGCACGAUUAUUUCUCAGAGAUGUAAUCCAACAUCGUGGCUUCAACGUGGUAUAGAGCGAACAGAAAGAAAGCACCUGAAAGGAGGCGCGAAUGAGCCACGAAUAUCCCACAGAACAAGCCAAAUCUGAAAUUUCCCAGACUUGGCAUUGCAUGGGCUGAGUUGCAUCACUUGCAUGAUAAAUUCCGUGAGCUCCCCUUGUGAUUUCUGAGCAAUAGAGUAUCUGAAAUUGAACUUUGGAAUCAGCAGCACAUGUUUGAAGCCUUGGCUUCUUGAUUUGAACUUUCAGAAACCUUCGAACUGCCCAGCAAAGUGCCUUUGAGAACAAAACCCUCUGUGAAUUGUUGUUGAUGAUAUGUUGAAUGUCUCGAUCUUAUUUGAAACGAGAAAAGGCCACCGGUGUUGGCCUUGAAUGAAUAAUGAUCAAACUCAUGUACUGGCCGGAAGAAUUCGACUGAUCGAACUUCAAAACCAAGUUUUGGUUUUCGUAAUUACUCUUAGUGAUGGCUAGAUGCAUAUGGUUAGUGUUUAGGCCAAAGGGUGUUUAAGAAAGGAAAAACUUUGAUUAGAGGAGAUUCAAAACAGAGGUGGUUUAGUAGUAUAGAAACAUAGGAGCUUUCAUUAAGUUAAUUGUACAUGGUUACAAGCAUUACACACACACACACAUAUAUAUA